CAGGGAGCAUUUGAGAGUUCACACUGGCAAAAAGCCUUAUGAGUGUGGGGAAGGUGGAAAAUUAUUUAGCAAGAAGUACAACCUUAUCAUGCAUCGAAAAGUUCACCCUGGUGAAAAGCCAUGUGAGUGCAGUGAACGAGGGGAAUGUUUUAGCCAGAGCUCUCGCCUCAUUAGACACCAGAGAAUUCACGCUGGAGAAAGGCCUUAUGAGUGCAGUGAGUGGAAAGUCCUUUACCUUCAACCCCAAUCUCCUAAAAUACCAGAAUGUUCACAAGGAAUAAAGACCUUUGCAUAAUAUAGGUAUGUCCUAUAAGGAGAUAACUAAGGACAAACGAGGUCAUAAGAAUGGGGUCCUAAUCCAGUGUGACUUGUGUCCAUGGAAGAAGACAAGGCACCAGAAGGUGCUCACUUUGUCGCUGUAUUCACGAACAGAGGAAAGGCCGUUUAAUGACACACCAAGAAGGUGGUUGAUUAGAAGUCAGAAAGAAAGGCCUCACCAGAAACCAUUCCUGAUGGCACCUUGGUCUUAGACUCCCAGCCUCUAGAAAUAGGAGAAUGUACAUUUCUUUAAGCCACCCAGUCUGUGGUAUUUUGUUGUGGCAGCCUCAAAAGAGACAAAGAUGCAAAGAAGCUUUACUGAAGUACAAUCAGUUGUCAUUCACACUAGUCAUGGCCUUUAAUUCACUGAAUUGGUGAAUAUACAGCCGUUGUUCCUAGGGGAAAUCUGUAAUCAGGUUCCUGAGAGCCUCUGGUCACAACGUUUUGGUCAACUGGUAAGUACAUAACGUGGUUUUCCAUGUGUUUCUGUUUAAAAACAAUUCGUUUACUGCAUACUGUUGAUUCAUUAACACUGAAAUCAUGGCCAACAGCACGAUGAUUCAUGCCUGAACAAUGCUUACCUAACGUGUAUUUUCUUUAAGCCACAUUGUUUGGGCUUAGGGACUCUAGGCGGCACAUGAGCGCCAGUUUUGGAGGCCAUUUUGGACCACAAAACCACCAAGAAGAAGCAUAAAUGGGGCACUAAAUACAUCAUGGGAAGAAUGCUUGUUUACAGUAUGAGAGCCGCAAAGAGAAGGCAGAGCAUCGUCUUGUGUAUCUCACAUACACUGGGUGACGUGGAUAUUUUGUGUCUCCAUAUGUCUAUGAAUAAGUGUAAAAAUGUAAGUAUUGAUUUGGGGGUUUUCCAGUUUUGGCAGGUAGGCAAAUUUACAAAUACAGAAUCCAUGAAAAAUGAGGAUUGACUGAUUGUCUUGCCAUAAAUUGUGCAUACUUAAAGAUAUACUCAGGCUGAAACUUGAGCUUUUUUACCAUUUUAUGGACUAACCAAGAUUUUUUGAGGACUUGGGUGGCGUCUGGGAUGUCUCGUUCAGCCAGGUGCAUGUGAUCAGGGGCAAAUUCUGUGAGUCACAGGAUCUGGGGUGGGUUAUCAGUGGGGCUGGGCUUUGAAUGAUGGUUGGAUGGACGGAGGAAGGGUGUGAUUUCUGAGGGCACAGCAAGUGCGGGAAUAGCAGAUAGGACCAUGGGUAGCUGAGAUCCGCACAUGGUCCUCUGUGACUGCGUCUGAGCCAAGGAGUUGAAUGAGACCUGCGUGGAAUGAUUUGGGGCUGUGGUUGCUAACAGGAACCAUGGGAAGUCUGUAGUCAUACUGGAUCCUCUCUGAAUUUGUCGAGGAUAUUCUGGAUGCUGUCUGCCAAGUUGUGUUGCAAGUUCUAAAGUUAAGGCCAACAGGUAUGCUGCCUUGACAUCUGGUGAAACAAGGAUGCCCUCAAAUGGCCGUGGUGCAAGUUUCCCUUCACAUGCUUCUCACAGCAGGAUGGCGUGGCCUUAGAAGAUGUGGCUGUGACAUUUUCCGGGGAGGAAUGGGGUCUCCUUGACGAGUCUUGGAGAUGCCCGUAUUGUGAUGUGAAGCUGGAGAACUUGGCACUUACAGCCUCCCUGGGAGUUGCUGGGCUGCCACCUGCUAAAGAAGAGGAUGUGUCACCCAUACCUGCUGCUGGAAUUUCUCCCCGGGCAGAGGCUCCGGACGCGCAGGCUCAGCGGCCAUGGCUCACAGGCCCAGCCGCUCCGCGACAUGUGGGAUCUUCCCGGACCGGGGCACGAACCUGUGUGGCCUGCAUCGGCAGGCGGACUCUCAACCACUGUGCCAACAGGGAAGCCCCAACUGGUGGGUUCUUAAUUAGCAACGUGAACGGUGACAUCAGAGGUCCUGAAUCAGGAUGGAAAUACUUAUCCCCAGCAUGUACAUGCGUAAAAACCUGGGGAGGCCGUGUGCAGCCGGCACCCUUAGGGAUGGGCUUCCGAGUUGACCCCUCAACGUUCCGGUGUCUAGCCACUGCUUUAGGAUUUCUGGGGCCCAAUGCUGACUCUAAGGGUUCUGUAAUCCAACCUCUAUCUGCCUUUAGUGAGACCUGCACUUCCAGGAUCCUACAGAGCAGGGUCUGUGUGACUGUUCUGUGGCUUCUGUAACAAAUGACCACAAGCUGGGUGGGGUGGUUUAAAACAACAGGAAUUCAUCCUCCCCCAGUCCUGGAGACCAGAUGUAUGAAUCAAAGUGUGGACCGGGCCAUGUUACCUCUGGAGGCUCCAGGGGAAUGUUCUUCCUGCCUCUACUGGAUUCUGGGGGCUCCAGGCGUCCCUGGGUUUGUGGCCACCUCUCUCCCAUCUCUGCCUCUGUCUUCACGUGGCUUCCCUGUGCCUUUCCUCUUCCGUCUCAUAUAAAGACACUGUUAUUGGAUUUAGAGCCACCCUCAUCUAUGAUGUCCUCAUCUCAGAUCCUUCACUAAUCCUGCAAAGACCUUUUUCCCAGACAGGGUCCCUUCACACGUUCCGAGGGACACAUCUUUUGGGGUCACCAUUCAACCCAUUAUCUUUGUGUAAAAUAACCCUCUUGUUUUAGGAGGUCACUGAGGCCCCAUAUAGACUGGCACUGGCAGCAGCCAUGUGGGUGGGGGUCUGAGGAGAAUGAGGACCCUGGAAACACCCUGGUUGGGGUAGGGUGAGUGGCCAGGCUACCUCCCAGCUUGCCUUUCAGGUUUUCACUUCGAUGUUGGGGCAGCGUUGGCCUCACCACUGGGUUUUGUUUGUUUUGAAGCAGUCAGAUAAUCAGACUUUCUAUGUGGCUUCUCCACUUAUGACAUAUUUGGAAAGACCUUCCCUAUUCUGAUAAUAUAAAAAUUAUUAUCCCUCG
rnacentral:lncRNA from 1 species